CAGACGUAACUGAAGAGCCACCGCCAGAGACCACUACCAUUAAUCCAUUUGAGUCUCGCUCAGUACCGAAAAAGCCUGAGUAUGAAGCUGAAACGGAACCGCCACCUCCAGAAAGCUUGUGCGUUCCCUUCCGAUACGGAGACGAAAUCGUGAACGGAUGCGUGGGCGAGCAAGGGAAGGAGGAGAUAAUUAAGACGGAGGGAGAAGGAGGAGAGAUAACCUGGUGGACAGUGAAAGGCAGAUGGUGCGCCUCAGAAGUAGACGAGAAUCUGAAUCCCGUAACCAUUAUACUGUGCGACGUGUGCGUUCCCUUCAGCCACAAAGGGAUGCUCAUGAGGGGCUGCGUGGGCGGCG